GAUGAAGAACGUAGCGAAAUGCGAUAAGUAAUGCGAAUUGCAGAUCUCCGUGAGUCAUUGAAUCUUUGAACGCACAUUGCGCCCUCGGGUAUUCCCGAGGGCAUGCCUGUCCGAGCGUCAUUAUCCAACCAUCAAGCUCGGCUUGGGGUUGAGCCCCGCACCGUCCCCGGGACGGUGGGCUCGAAACAUGUUGGGCGCCCGUGAGGUUGUCGGUGCAGCGAGCUCUCGAGCACGUGCCGGGCAACCGCUCUGGGCGUCGGCCAGCCCCCCCAUUUUCUCAGGUUGACCUCGGAUCAGGUAGGAAUACCCGCUGAACUUAAGCAUAUCAAUAAGCGGAGGA
rnacentral:misc_RNA from 1 species